GAUGAACGCUGGCGGCGUGCCUAAUACAUGCAAGUCGAGCGAACAGAUAAGGAGCUUGCUCCUUUGACGUUAGCGGCGGACGGGUGAGUAACACGUGGGUAACCUACCUAUAAGACUGGGAUAACUUCGGGAAACCGGAGCUAAUACCGGAUAAUAUUUCGAACCGCAUGGUUCGAUAGUGAAAGAUGGUUUUGCUAUCACUUAUAGAUGGACCCGCGCCGUAUUAGCUAGUUGGUAAGGUAACGGCUUACCAAGGCGACGAUACGUAGCCGACCUGAGAGGGUGAUCGGCCACACUGGAACUGAGACACGGUCCAGACUCCUACGGUAGGCAGCAGUAGGGAAUCUUCCGCAAUGGGCGAAAGCCUGACGGAGCAACGCCGCGUGAGUGAUGAAGGUCUUCGGAUCGUAAAACUCUGUUAUUAGGGAAGAACAUACGUGUAAGUAACUGUGCACGUCUUGACGGUACCUAAUCAGAAAGCCACGGCUAACUACGUG
rnacentral:rRNA from 1 species